UCAGAGGGAGGUAGAAUUNCACGUGUAGCAGUGAAAUGCGUAGAGAUGUGGAGGAAUACCGAUGGCGAAGGCAGCCUCCCGGGAUAACACUGACGUUCAUGCCCGAAAGCGUGGGUAGCAAACAGGAUUAGAUACCCUGGUAGUCCACGCCCUAAACGAUGUCGAUUAGCUGUUGGGCAGCAUGACUGCUUAGUAGCGAAGCUAACGCGUGAAAUCGACCGCCUGGGGAGUACGGUCGCAAGAUUAAAACUCAAAGGAAUUGACGGGGACCCGCACAAGCGGUGGAUGAUGUGGAUUAAUUCGAUGCAACGCGAAGAACCUUACCUGGUCUUGACAUGUACGGAAUCCUCCAGAGACGGAUGAGUGCCUUCGGGAGCCGUAACACAGGUGCUGCAUGGCUGUCGUCAGCUCGUGUCGUGAGAUGUUGGGUUAAGUCCCGCAACGAGCGCAACCCUUGUCAUUAGUUGCCAUCAUUAAGUUGGGCACUCUAAUGAGACUGCCGGUGACAAGCCGGAGGAAGGUGGGGAUGACGUCAAGUCCUCAUGGCCCUUAUGACCAGGGCUUCACACGUCAUACAAUGGUCGGUACAGAGGGUAGCCAAGCCGCGAGGCGGAGCCAAUCUCACAAAACCGAUCGUAGUCCGGAUUGCACUCUGCAACUCGAGUGCAUGAAGUCGGAAUCGCUAGUAAUCGCAGGUCAGCAUACUGCGGUGAAUACGUUCCCGGGUCUUGUACACACC
rnacentral:rRNA from 1 species